rnacentral:tRNA from 3 species
GGUGCCGUAGCCAAGUGGUAAGGCAGGGGUCUGCAAAACCCCCAUUCGCGGGUUCGAUUCUCGCCGGCACCUCCA